UACAGAGGGUGCAAGCGUUGUUCGGAAUUACUGGGCGUAAAGGGCUCGUAGGCGGCCAACUAAGUCAGACGUGAAAUCCCCAGGCUUAACCUGGGAACUGCGUCUGAUACUGGAUGGCUUGAGAUUGGGAGAGGGAUGCGGAAUUCCAGGUGUAGCGGUGAAAUGCGUAGAUAUCUGGAGGAACACCGGUGGCGAAGGCGACAUCCUGGACCAACACUGACGCUGAGGAGCGAAAGCCAGGGGAGCAAACAGG
rnacentral:rRNA from 1 species